ensembl:snRNA U6 U6 spliceosomal RNA
GUGUUCUCUUUGGCAGCACAUACACUAAAAUAGGAAUGAUACAGAAAAGAUGAGCAAAGUCCUUGAGUGAGGAUGAUACACAAAUUUGUAAAGACCAGUUGUUU